rnacentral:rRNA from 1 species
AUUGAACGCUGGCGGCAGGCCUAACACAUGCAAGUCGAACGGUAACAGGAAGAAGCUUGCUUCUUUGCUGACGAGUGGCGGACGGGUGAGUAAUGUCUGGGAAACUGCCUGAUGGAGGGGGAUAACUACUGGAAGCGGUAGCUAAUACCGCAUAACGUCGCAAGACCAAAAGAGGGGGGACCUUCGGGCCUCUUGCCAUCGGAUGUGCCCAGAUGGGAUUAGCUAGUAGGUGGGGUAACGGCUCACCUAGGCGACGAUCCCUAGCUGGUCUGAGAGGAUGACCAGCCACACUGGAACUGAGACACGGUCCAGACUCCUACGGGAGGCAGCAGUGGGGAAUAUUGCACAAUGGGCGCAAGCCUGAUGCAGCCAUGCCGCGUGUAUGAAGAAGGCC